UCUUAUUCUUUUUCUGGCAACCUCCUUUGUUGCCAUUGCUCGGAUUUGGUCCCCAAGCCGUUGGAUUACCUAUGAAUAGGGCAUUCCCUGUUUGGCUUUUGCUCUGCCGACUGCCGCCAGCCAUAGCCAUUGUCGGGUCACUGCUUCACUGUCAGGAGUCACUGUAGGUGGCCAACCUUGGGCCUUCCACUGCCAUGGUUGGGAGA
rnacentral:lncRNA from 1 species